rnacentral:rRNA from 1 species
GACGAACGCUGGCGGCGCGCUUAACACAUGCAAGUCGAGCGACGCACCAGGGGCUUGCCCUUGGUGACGGAGCGGCGAACGGGUGAGUAACACGUGGGUAAUCUGCCCUCGGCAUCGGGAUAGCCCGGGGAAACCCGGAUUAAUACCGAAUAGCCUCUCGAGCUCUCGAGCUCGAAAGAAAAGGUAGCUUCGGCCUCCGGCCGAGGAGGAGCCCGCGGCGGAUUAGCUUGUUGGCGGGGUAAAGGCCCACCAAGGCGACGAUCCGUAGCUGGUCUGAGAGGACGAUCAGCCACACUGGGAAUGAGACACGGCCCAGACUCCUACGGGAGGCAGGAGUGGGGAAUCUUGCACAAUGGGCGAAAGCCUGACGCAGCGACGCCGCGUGUGGGAAGAAGGCCUUCGGGUUGUAAACCACUUUCAGGAGGGACGAAGCCACUCGGGUUAAUAGCCCAGAGGGUGACGGUACCUCCAGAAGAAGCCCCGGCUAACUACGUGCCAGCAGCCGCCGUAACAC